GAAUCCCGUCUUUGACACGGGCUGCCUGUACAUUAUGGUGUGCUCUCGAAGAGUCGAGUUGUUUGGGAAUGCAGCUCAAAAUGGGUGGUAAAUGCCAUCUAAAGCUAAAUAUUGGCGAGAGACCGAUAGCGAACAAGUACCGUGAGGGAAAGAUGAAAAGAACUUUGGAAAGAGAGUUAAACAGUACGUGAAAUUGCUGAAAGGGAAACGCUUGAAGUCAGUCGCGUUGGCUAGAAAUCAACCUUGCUUUUGCUUUGUGUACUUUCUGGUUGACGGGUCAGCAUCAAUUUUGACCACUGGAUAAAGUCUUUGGGAAUGUGGCAUCUUCGGAUGUGUUAUAGCCCAUUGUCGCAUACGGUGGUUGGGAUUGAGGAACUCAGCACGCCGCAAGGCCGGGUUUCGACCACGUUCGUGCUUAGGAUGCUGGCAUAAUGGCUUUAAUCGACCCGUCUUGAAACACGGACCAAGGAGUCUAACAUGCCUGCGAGUGUUUGGGUGGAAAAACCCAUGCGCGCAAUGAAAGUGAAAGUUGAGAUCCUCUUCAAAGGGGGAGCAUUGACGCCCGGACCAGACCUUUUGUGACGGAUCCGCGGUAGAGCAUGCAUGUUGGGACCCGAAAGAUGGUGAACUAUGCCUGAAUAGGGUGAAGCCAGAGGAAACUCUGGUGGAGGCUCGUAGCGAUUCUGACGUGCAAAUCGAUCGUCAAAUUUGGGUAUAGGGGCGAAAGACUAAUCGAACCAUCUAGUAGCUGGUUCCU
rnacentral:rRNA from 1 species